CAAUGUGCUGAGCUCUGGGGAUCAUUGAGGAAGAAUUCAGACAAGUUCCUGCUGUCACGGAACUUACAUCCCAGCAAGGAGGAAUACAGACAACAAAGUAAAACACCUGGGGAGGAGUGGAGACAGAUACUAGUACAUUGGAGAAGCUCAAGUCCUCCGGAUGCAUUCAAGCCAGAACACAGAGGAGAAGACAUCGAAGCCGAGGGCAGAGAGCUGAAGGGCCCUAACACCUGUGCCUGCAUUGCUCAAGAGCAGCCCCAAGGGUUCAGGGGUGUUUCUGUCUCCACCACCUUCACAGCAGUACCUGAUUCCCUACCAUGAAAACUCUACUAAAUAAAACCGUCUUCCCUGA
rnacentral:sRNA from 1 species